rnacentral:lncRNA from 1 species
AAGAAACAGUCAACACACCAUGCGAGCAGACUACUGAGACAGAAGCCCAUCGGUCCACAUGUGUUAAAACCACACAUGGGGAUAGCCACCCAAGCUGCCCGGCAUGCAGUGAAGCGGCAAGGACCAGACUAAUGGCCACCCCUGAGCAACUCCACUCGGCUUCAAGCCUGAGCAAAGCCAAUGAACCUGGUACUGUUCAAUGUCUUUGAUCAAUUUGGGUGUGAGCAGCUAAAAGCAAAUAGGCAGGCCUCAUCUUGAAUGACAUCAUGUUAGUGUGUUUAUCCCCAUACUUCCUCUGCUGUUUUUUUCCCCCUUUAGACAUGUGGUCUCACUCCACCACCCAGGCUGGAGUGCUUGGCACUCCAGUGGAGCAAUCAUAGCUCACUACAGUGCCAAACUCCUGGGCUCAAACAAUCCUCCAGCCUCAGCCUCUGGAGCAGCUUGGACUACUGGCACACAUCACCAUACUGGGAUACUAAAAAAAAAUUUUUUUUUGUAGAGAUGCGGUCUCACUACAUUGCCCAGGCUGAUGUCAAACUCCUGGCCUCAAGUAUUCCUCCUGCCUUGGUCUCUCAAAGUGCUGGGAUUACAGGCAUAAGUCACCACAUCCGGCCUAUUUCCAUACUUCCUAGUUCCCAUCUCAAAUCUGUUUUUGGGGAAUGACACAGAAGUCAAGUCCAGAAGGCCUACCAAUGGCAGUGUAAGGUUAUCACACCACACUGCCUCUUAACUGAGAUGAGAUGUAGAAACAAUCCUAUGUGCAUAUGCAGACUACAUGUGAAAGGUACAUAAGGCUGGAAAAGCUGGGCAUGGUAGCUCACACCUGUAAUCUUAGCACUUUGGGAGGACAAGGUGGGAGGAUCGCUUUAGCUUGGAAAUUCAAGACCAGCUUGGGAAACAUCGUGAGGCCCUGUCUCUACAAAAAACUAUUUUUUUAGAAAAUUAGCUGCGUGAGGUGGUGCGUGCCUAUAGUCCCAGCUAGUCAGGUGUGUGAGGUGGGAGGGCUGCCUGAGCCCAGGAGGUCAAGGCUGCUGUGAGCCAUGAUCAUACCACUGCACUCUAGCCUGGGCACAUAACCCUGUCUCAAAAAAACAAAAACCAAAAAGACUGGAAAAAGCCGUUGCUUUGGGGAAGGGAAUGGUGGCUGGAUGUGGCUGGAGAGGGUGGAAGGAAGGCUGACUUUUCACUUAAGGCGACUGAUCUAUGAACUUAACAACUUUUUCUUUCAGUUCAAAAAGUAAAAAGAUACCUGGCUUCUUGAGCUCGUGCUUACUGGGUCAGCUGGCAGGGAGAAUACACAAGGUUACUUCUGAUUACUAAAUGAGAUCAUCACAAUGCCAUCCACAGAGUGACAAUUUCCCAGAAGCUUUCCAGCGGAUCCCCCGACCCCUCCUCUAUUCAAUCUACAUUUUGCAAUGCCAAUAAAGUUAUCUAAGUGCAACUUAAGACAUUAUUCUGCUUAGGAACCUUAAUGAAUGACUCCCCACCACCCAGAAAAUAAGUCCCAGACACCUCAGUACAAUGUGUGAGGCCCUUGAAGGCUCUGGCCUUCCCAGUCACAGCCUCAUGUUCUCUGUCUUCAAGUUUCACGAAGCCACGUGACAUGCCCAUAAACGAUGGAAACCAGGCCCUUUCAACAGUGUCUUGGCCCAUCCAGGUCCUGGCUGUACGAAACUGUUAACUCAUCAAGGUACAGCUCCAGUGCCAUUCCCUAACCAGAGCUUUCCCUGACUUCUCAGCCUGAAUUAUGUUUCUUUACCUCUGCUGCCGUCAUACUUGAUAAAGGGGGCAGAAUACGCUAUCCCAAAAUAUGCUCCUUAGGCAUAGGAUUAUUUUGAGUUAAAGACACUUGAAAACCAUCACAUGCAAGAAGAGGGCUCCGACCUUCCUUUUUCAUCCUGAAAGCAGGAGAUAAACUCCCAUGUGAAGGAUGCCCUCCUUAUACCAGGAGGAAAGAAACAUUCCUAACACCAGGGACGGGGAGGCAAGGCUGAGGGAAACCUCCAUAAACAAACCUUGCUGAACGAAUCCUUAUCUUCCUAGUCACUUCUCCACAACUAACUGCCCUAGCCCAUGCUCCUUUGUCUGGUCACGUUUUCACAAUUUACUUUUUGUCCAACUUCAUAUAUAAGCAUUCAGUUCCACCUGCUUCUUUGGAUCUUCCUUUUCCUAUGGGAACUCCAAUGUCAGACAUGACACUGAUGCUUCAAAUUCAUCAUAAUAUACGUGAAAUCCCAUUCCCAGUAGUCCCAAGUUACUCUCCAAAGUGAUGUGUUUUUUUAUUAAUGUGCUAAGUAGGCAUGAAUUAAAUGGCUUCUCUGCUG